CAGUAGCCACGGUAAUACGAGGGGGGCAAGCGUUGUUCGGAAUUAUUGGGCGUAAAGGGUGCGUAGGCGGUUUGACAAGUCUCAUGUGAAAUCUUCGGGCUCAACUCGAAGUCUGCAUGGGAAACUGUCGGGCUUGAGUAUGGGAGAGGUGAGUGGAAUUUCCGGUGUAGCGGUGAAAUGCGUAGAUAUCGGAAGGAACACCUGUGGCGAAAGCGGCUCACUGGACCAUAACUGACGCUGAGGCACGAAAGCUAGGGGAGCAAACAGGAUUAGAUACCCCCGUAGUCCCUGUCUCUUAUAC
rnacentral:rRNA from 1 species